rnacentral:lncRNA from 1 species
CAGGGUUUCACCAAGUCACUAAGAUGUCCAGGUUGGGCUCAAACUUGAGAUCCUCCUGCCUCAGCCUCUCAAAAUGCUGAGAUUAUAAGCAUGUGCCAACACACCUCCAGGAGCUACUUUUGUUCCUUCAAUUUUCUUAGAGAUUGAACUUGGGUCCUUGUGCUUACAAGACAGGCAGCGGAACCAUUGAGUAGUGGAAGAGAGUAUGAAGUUAGCAUGGAAAACUCCAGAUGUCACUGGGAGCAUGACGUUCUUGGAAGACAAAAAUCAACAAUUAUUAAUUUAAGUCCCAAGGCCCACAAAAGUCAAGGGUCUCACUAUGUAUUCCAAGCUGGCGUUGAAGUCACUGGGUACCCCAGGCAGGCCUUGAACUUGCUACCGCC